rnacentral:other from 1 species
CAAGCUCGACCUUGUUAGUGAUUUGUGACUUUAUUGAGCCAACACAUUAUGUAAGGGAGCUUAUGUUUCCUCAGCUGUCCAAGGGUAGCUGAGGGACCGGCGCCCACCUGCUGGAGCAGGUUCAAUAAAUAGACAAACACGGCAAGGUGGAGCUUUA